rnacentral:rRNA from 1 species
GUAGUCCACGCUGUAAACGAUGUCGAUUUGGAGGUUGUGCCCUUGAGGCGUGGCUUCCGGAGCUAACGCGUUAAAUCGACCGCCUGGGGAGUACGGCCGCAAGGUUAAAACUCAAAUGAAUUGACGGGGGCCCGCACAAGCGGUGGAGCAUGUGGUUUAAUUCGAUGCAACGCGAAGAACCUUACCUACUCUUGACAUCCAGAGAACUUAGCAGAGAUGCUUUGGUGCCUUCGGGAACUCUGAGACAGGUGCUGCAUGGCUGUCGUCAGCUCGUGUUGUGAAAUGUUGGGUUAAGUCCCGCAACGAGCGCAACCCUUAUCCUUUGUUGCCAGCGGUUCGGCCGGGAACUCAAAGGAGACUGCCAGUGAUAAACUGGAGGAAGGUGGGGAUGACGUCAAGUCAUCAUGGCCCUUACGAGUAGGGCUACACACGUGCUACAAUGGCAUAUACAAAGAGAAGCGACCUCGCGAGAGCAAGCGGACCUCAUAAAGUAUGUCGUAGUCCGGAUUGGAGUCUGCAACUCGACUCCAUGAAGUCGGAAUCGCUAGUAAUCGUAGAUCAGAAUGCUACGGUGAAUACGUUCCCGGGCCUUGUACACACCGCCCGUCAACCAUGGGGAGUGGGUUGCAAAAGAAGUAGGUAGCUUAACCUUCGGGAGGGCGCUUACCACUUUGUGAUUC